GUUGCUUAGCUCUUAAAUUGUUCAUGCUGCAGACAGGAGGUAAUAUCCUUAGAUAAUGAGAUUUCCUUCAAUGAGGCUAUCAUCGAGGAAAGAGAACAAGGUAUUCAAGAAGUCCAGCAGCAGAUUGGGGAAGUAAAUGAGAUCUUCAAAGAUCUUGCCGUGCUUGUUCAUGAGCAAGGAGCAAUGAUUGAUGAUAUUGGAUCCAACAUUGAGCAUUCCCAUGAAGCCACUGCCCAAGCAAAAUCAGAACUUGUGAAAGCUUCUAAGACACAACGAUCAAGUUCAUCUUUGGCUAUCAAAACUCUCCGGCGGUGUUGCUGUUUUCAAAGUUUGUCAUUCAUUCUUAAAAACCGGCGGUAUUGCUGUUUACAAUAGCUGCAAAUGCUGGUUUUGAUGGUUCUUUAAUUUACAGCAAAUUGUUGGAACAAGAUAAUCUUAAUUUGGGUUUCGAUGCUGCUAAAGGAACUUAUGUUGAUAUGGUGAAGGCUGGGAUUAUAGAUCCUGUUAAAGUUGUUAGAACAGCUUUGGUAGAUGCUGCCAGUGUAUCGUUGUUACUGACGACAACCGAGGCAUCUAUUGUAGAAAAUAUGAGUGAUAAAAACAAACCUCCUCAAAGGGUGGCAGAUAUGGAUGAUUUGGACUACUAACUUUUCUUAAAUAUGUUGAGAAUAUUUUGGC